rnacentral:rRNA from 1 species
GACGAACGCUGGCGGCGUGCUUAACACAUGCAAGUCGAACGGUGAAGCGCCUUCCUUUUUGGUGGGUGUGGAUGAGUGGCGAACGGGUGAGUAACACGUGAGUAACCUGCCCCCUUCUUCUGGAUAACCGCAUGAAAGUGUGGCUAAUACGGGAUAUUCUGGGUCUGUCGCAUGAUGGGUCUGGGAAAGAUAUUGUUUCGGUGGGGGAUGGGCUCGCGGCCUAUCAGCUUGUUGGUGGGGUGAUGGCCUACCAAGGCGGUGACGGGUAGCCGGCCUGAGAGGGUGGACGGUCACACUGGGAAUGAGACACGGCCCAGACUCCUACGGGAGGCAGCAGGGGGGAAUAGUGCACAGUGGGCGCAAGCCUGAUGCAGCGACGCCGCGUGAGGGAUGGAGGCCUUCGGGUUGUGAACCUCUUUCGCCAGUGAAGUAGGCCUGCCUCGUUUGUGGGUGGGUUGACGGUAGCUGGAUAAGAAGCGCCGGCUAACUACGUG